GCCGAGCGGUCCAAGGCGGUGGAUUAAGGCUCCAUUCUCGAAAGAGGCGCGGGUUCAAAUCCCGUCUCC
rnacentral:tRNA from 1 species